CCAAAAACAUAGCCCUUAAAAAAAUUAAAGGUGAAACCUGCCCAAUGAUUUAAUAAUUUACACUUAAAAGAUAAAUAAAAAAUUAAAUGGCUGCAGUAACCAUGACUGUAAAAAUGUAGCAUAAUAAUUCGCCACUUAAUUAGUGGAUAGUAUGAAUGGUUAAACGAAAAUUCCACUGUCUUAUAAAAUACAAUAAAAAAUUUAAAUCAUAGUUAAGAUGCUAUGUAAAACUGUAAGACGAAAAGACCCUAUAAAGCUUAACUAUAAAUCUUAACAUUUUAAUAUUAAAACUAAUAAAAAUCAUUAAGAUUUGGUAGUUUCAUUGGGGCGAUGAUCUCUAAAAAUAAACAGAGAUAAACUAAUUUAAUAAUAAAAUUUACUGUAUAAUUAAUAAAUUUAACAGUUACAAAGUAGGGUAUAAUGACCCAUUAUUUUAAUUAAAAAAAAAAUAAUGAACAAUAAAUAAAAGCUACUUUAGGGAUAACAGGAUAAUAAUUUCUUAGAGACCCAAUCGAAGAAAAAGUUUAUCACCUCGAUGUUGAAUUAAGAUAACCUAAUGACGCAGCAGUAAUUAAAGGUAGGUC
rnacentral:rRNA from 1 species